GGGGGGGAAGAAAAAGAAGCAUGGCUAUAAAGAGGUUCUAACACGGAAUUGUUUAAUGACUUUCUCUGUAUGGGUGAGUAAUGUUAACUUGAUAAAAUGAAUAUUAGAAAAGAAAGGCAACUUUCAUGACAUAUACAUCUAAACAACAUUUAAAUUUAAUUAGGACAGUCAUAAAGAUGCUACCAAGUUUUUCUUCAUCAAAUAUUUUGAGAAGCAAAAGUUUAUGAAAUACGGAAUUGUAUAUAAUACUCUUCUAUUAGUUGGCAUCCAAC
rnacentral:lncRNA from 1 species